rnacentral:rRNA from 1 species
AGAGUUUGAUCCUGGCUCAGGACGAACGCUGGCGGUGCGCCUAACACAUGCAAGUCGAACGGUGAACCGGGCUUCGGCCCGGGGAUCAGUGGCGAACGGGUGCGUAACACGUGGGCAACCUGCCCCCGACCCUGGGAUAACCCCGGGAAACCGGAGCUAAUACCGGAUACUCUCCUCCGACCGCAUGGUCAGAAGAGGAAAGGUCCGCCGGUCGGGGAUGGGCCCGCGGCCUAUCAGCUUGUUGGUGGGGUAACGGCCUACCAAGGCGACGACGGGUAGCUGGUCUGAGAGGACGACCAGCCACACUGGGACUGAGACACGGCCCAGACUCCUACGGGAGGCAGCAGUGGGGAAUCUUGCGCAAUGGGCGAAAGCCUGACGCAGCGACACCGCGUGGGGGACGAAGGCCUUUCAGGUCGUAAACCCCUUUCGGCAGGGACGAAGCGAUCUCGUGACGGUACCUGCAGAAGAAGCCUCGGCUAACUACGUGCCAGCAGCCGCGGUAACACGUAGGAGGCGAGCGUUGUCCGGAAUCAUUGGGCGUAAAGAGCGCGCAGGCGGCUUGGCAAGUCGGGUGUGAAAUCCCGGGGCUCAACCCCGGGACUGCAUUCGAUACUGUCAGGCUAGAGGUAGGUAGGGGAGAUCGGAAUUCCUGGUGUAGCGGUGAAAUGCGCAGAUAUCAGGAGGAACACCGGUGGCGAAGGCGGAUCUCUGGGCCUUACCUGACGCUCAGGCGCGAAAGCUAGGGGAGCGAACAGGAUUAGAUACCCUGGUAGUCCUAGCCGUAAACGUUGGGUGCU